rnacentral:rRNA from 1 species
AUACGUAGGGGGCGAGCGUUGUCCGGAAUGAUUGGGCGUAAAGGGCGCGUAGGCGGCGCGGUAAGUCUGGAGUGAAAGUCCUGCUUUCAAGGUGGGAAUUGCUUUGGAUACUGCCGCGCUUGAGUGCAGGAGAGGUUAUCGGAAUUCCCGGUGUAGCGGUGAAAUGCGUAGAGAUCGGGAGGAACACCAGUGGCGAAGGCGGGUAACUGGACUGCAACGGACGCUGAGGAGCGAAAGUGUGGGGAGCAAACAGGAUUAGAUACCCUGGUAGUCCACACUGUAAACGAUGAAUGCUAGGUGUAAGAGGUAUCGACCCCUUUUGUGCCGGAGUCAACACAAUAAGCAUUCCGCCUGGGGAGUACGGCCGCAAGGUUGAAACUCAAAUGAAUUGGCGGGG